AAGAGAACCUGAAACCGUAUGUCUACAAACAGUCGAAGUCUGUAUAUAUAUCAGGACGACGGCGUGCCUAUUGAAGAAUGAACCGACGAGUUACUGUUGCUAGCGAGGUUAAGUGGAAAACAUGGAGCCGCAGCGAAAGCGAGUCUGAACAGGGCGUUCAGUUAGUAAUAGUAGACCCGAAACCGUAGUGAUCUAUCCAUGGCCAGGUUGAAGCACAGGUAAAAUUGUGUGGAGGACCGAACUCGUGAGCGUUGAAAAGCUUUGGGAUGAGUUGUGGAUAGGGGUGAAAUGCCAAUCGAACACGGAGAUAGCUGGUUCUCCCCGAAAUAGCUUUAGGGCUAGCCUCGAGGUUGAGAGUAUAGGCGGUAGAGCACUGAUCGGGCUAGGGGCCAUACCGGUUACCGAACCUAGUCAAACUACGAAUGGCUAUACUUAUACUCGGGAGUCAGACAGUGAAUGAUAAGGUCCAUUGUCAAGAGGGAAACAGCCCAGAACACCGACUAAGGUCCCAAAUGUUACACUAAGUGGCGAAGGAUGUGGAGUUUCCAAAACAACCAGGAUGUUGGCUUAGAAGCAGCCACCAUUUAAAGAGUGCGUAAUAGCUCACUGGUCGAGAGACUCUGCGCCGAAAAUGUCCGGGGCUAAAGUGUAAAACCGAAGUCGUGUCAUAUGCAGCAAUGUAUAUGGGUAGGGGAGCGUUCUCAUCGGGCUGAAGCAGUACCGUAAGGAGUUGUGGACUGAUGAGAAGUGAGAAUGUCGGUAUGAGUAGCGAAAAGAAUGGUGAGAAUCCAUUCCACCGAAAGCCUAAGGGUUCCUGAGCAACGAUCGUCGUCUCAGGGUAAGUCGGGACCUAAGCCGAGGCGAAAAGCGUAGGCGAUGGACAACAGGUUGAAAUUCCUGUACCGGUGUGAAUCGUUUGAUCGAUGGAGUGACACAGUAAGGUAGGUCAGCACGCGAUUGGAAGAGCGUGUUUAAGCAUGUAGGUUGAGCUAUAGGCAAAUCCGUAGCUCUAAAAGCUGAGAUGUGAUGACGAGUGACUAGCAAUAGUCGCGAAGUGAUUGAUCCUACACUGUCGAGAAAAGCUUCUAGGUAGAGACACAUCGCCCGUACCAAAACCGACACAGGUAGGCGGGGAGAGAAUCCUAAGGUGCGCGGGAAAACCCUCGUUAAGGAACUCGGCAAAAUGCAUCCGUAACUUCGGGAAAAGGAUGACCCAUGUAGUGUGAAAGCUUGUAACGGCUCUAGCAUGAAUGGGUGGCACAAGAGA
rnacentral:rRNA from 1 species